ACGGGGGGUUGGGGGAGGGGAAGUUCCUCCGCGCUGUGGCUGUGAACAGGCAGGUCCCCGUGAGCGACACCCAGGUGAGGUGCUGUACCUGUGGCCCAGGACCUUACGGCCUGAGUGGACGGACGGCACAGAGAAUGCAGCUUAAUCUCUGUUUUCUUAUUGAGACACGUUUUAGCUCACUGUCACUAUUACGGCGGUUCAAGAUAUAUUGUUAAAUGUCGCACAGGGCAAAAGCAGGUUCAAAGCAGGGCCCCUUUUUUGUAAAAGAAACAUUGUCCAUGGCAUAUGAAUGUAGAGUACAGUUAGAGGGAACGUGCACAAGUAAACAUGUAUGAAAGAAAGUUCUAGAAGGAAAUGGACCAAACUGCUGACAGGAGUUAUUUGCCUCAGCAGAGUGGGAUGGGCAUGGGGAUAACAGAUGGCAGAGACGGUCAUGGCCACUAAACAUCCCUCAUCUCCGUGUGGUUGGAUUGGAGUUUGGUGACUAGGCCUGGCCAUUGGGCAGUAGGCAUAUCUGUAUGUCCUUCCUGGGCCAAAAGUGGGUGGGAGCUUCCUACCUCUCUUGCGCGCGCACGCGCUUCUUUUGUCAUCGUGACUCUGGAAACCAUGUGCCAAAAUGGAAGGGGGUCCCUGUUGUCCUGCAUCAGACUUUGUAUAAAUGAGAAAUGAACCUGUUAGGAGCAUUUAAGAUCUCAAGGCUGUUAAGAUCUCAAGGCUUACUUGUUAUUGCAGCUUAGCAUAUCCGUGCAGACUAAAUCUGCAAUAUGUUUGCACUUCUACACAGUGUUUUCCUAUAUGAACCAUAAUUUUUUCAAUGAAAAUUUUAUUAAGAAUUGAACUUUUGCUGAGAUGUAGAGCUUUUCCAUGCCUCUAAGAUUUCCUGAAAACACAGAUUGUUAGACUCAAAAAUGAAUCAGUUAUGAAAACUCUAGGUGUUCCAUGUCAGGAUGAUCUACAUACUUUAGGUCAAGGCCAAUAGUCAGGGAGAGCUGUGAAAUUGAAAACAGGUUUCUUUCUGUGAGACCAGGGCCAUGUAGGUUGCGGGCUACCUUUUCGCCUUUUAUUCUCUUUAUUCAGAAUGAGAUCAGUGGCCCAGACAAUAUUCACAAACAGCCCACGGUGACUUGAACCUCCUGGUUGAAACUGUCCAAAGGACAAUCCUGUUGCUGGACGCCAGCUUCUCCUGACCACUCAGCAACCUUGGCCACAUUUGCAGAUCCAGAAAGAGAUGCGGUGGUCGCUGCUCAAGAUCCUCCUGGACAUUUCCAGCCCCGGUCCCUGGCCGUGGUCUCAGGAUACACAUAUGACCACGCUCCCUUCGACCCGCUCCUGCUCUCGUAAAAAAGAAAAGGAAUUCCUGGCACAGACACAGCCCCGGAGAAGGGAAACAUCGCCCACGGGCUGUAUGUCUAAACUGUCAGGUUUUCAACCCCAAAUCUCUGGAGGCGAGGCCAGAUUUCAUGUGCUUCCUGUGAAGCAAGGAGACUCUUGUCAUCGUUGGAGAGAAGGGAGGCAUUAUGACUCGAGGUGCCACCACUGCCACUGGCAAGCGCCAUAUGGUCCCACACAGCCACUUCCCUGGGCCGUCUCCACCAUGGACUGGGAGGAGCGCAGGACGCACUGCCACCCAGCCACUCUAGGGCCUGGUUUUCCAACCCCCGCCCCCCGCCCUGAGGAGUUUCCAGCCAAAGACAAUGAACUGAACAGUUUCCCCAGCUGUAGGAGGGGAUUGGGGUCCCACCGUCUGCCUUUGUCACUAACUCAUCCUGAAACUCCUUCUCGAUCUCUGUUUCUUCAUCUGUAAAGUGAAAAUCCAGAAAAUCUGCGGGGACGAUGAGAGAGAAUAGAUAGAUACACCAUACGUUCUCAAACAGGGGUGGGUCUGCUCUUGUCCUCUCCUCCUAUCCAGGGGACAUGGUCAUGUCACAGAGAUUUUAGGUUGUCACAACUUAACGGAAGGGGCUUCCUCUGGUACCUAGUGUAUAGAGGACAAGGAUGCCGUCCUCUGAUAACAGUCUCCCACCACCACGUGUUAUCCAGCCCAGACACACCUAUGGUGCCGAGGCUGAGAAUCCCUGAUAGAGAAUAGCUGGCAAACAGUUGGCGAUUAAAGUGGAAUGUGGGAAAGGGAAUUCAGUAAGGGUGUUCAAUAAUCCUUAGCUCUGAUUUACUGAUCCAAGAUCAUUUGCAGCUGUCUUGAAGGAUCCGAAGGCUGCAAACAAGCUCAGCCAGACAGUGUCAUGAUUGAUUAGUGAUGUCUGCCAUGGGCACGGCAGGGGGAAGCGGCAGCCUGAGUGUGGUGUAUUUUCCGACCCUGGACCGUGUGCUGUCUAGCAUCUGUUUCUCCUCUGACAUUCUGUGAUUCUAUUGCUGAGAUUCCAUGAGUCUAUCUCUGAAGUUCUGUAGUCAGCAUUAUUUACAGAAUAUUCAAGCAGCCCCGGCUCCUGCAGGAUUGCUUUGGCAGGGCGGGCUGGUGAGCUGAGAGCCAGGUGGCCCUGUGCAAGGUAAAAUAGAUGGCUGUGGACCGGAUGAGAUGUGAGUGACGUGGCAUGCUCCCCCCCACCAUCUUCCCCAUCUCUCCUGGGCUAACAUUUUUAGUGUUAGUUACUCUGUUGGAUGAAAGCAUCGUCGUCAGGAGAUGGUGGUGCUUAAAUGCACAACUGUUACCUUGAAGGGGUCAGCAGUCGUCCAUCCCGAUGCAUUACUCUGCUAACCUAGCUCAGUAGGACAGAACUGGGAGGAAAUGAGACAAGAUGGGUUAUAUUUUGAGAGCGGAUGCGGAGGUGUGGGACCUGUGGAUUAAAGGGCUCUAGUCAGAAUCACUGCAUGGCUGGAUUCUAGGAGGUAUCAUUCACACUGGGACUUCGAUGUGUUUUAAAAACUCAAGAUCACAUGUCUCGGGAAACUGCUCUGUCCCCACGCAAGCCAGGACAGCUGGCUACCCUCAGUCUAGGCCACACGGCAUGGGAGGAGCUUCUUGGUCCUUUCUGUAAUUGAUCCCUCCUGCUGCUGCCUGAAUUUUCUUCCUGGUCAUGCCCUUCCCUUGCUUAUGAAUUGUCUGUGGCUCCCUAGGACCCCUGGGACUAAGUCGGAAUUGGCCUCCACCUUGCUUCCUGUCAUGGCCCGAUCCACCUCUCUUCUGCUGAGAGGCUCCCCAGCAACCUGAGAUCAGCCGUCCACUCUCCUGUGUCCACUGAGUUAGAGGGGGAACCCACUGUCGAGAGUGUGUUCAAUUUAUGUCAGCAGAAAAGGAGCUAAUUGGCCUGAUGCUGCUCAAGAUGCCUCCUUCCCUCCCUCCUUUCCCCCCCUUUCCUCUUUCCUUCCCUCUUUAAGCUUUUCGAAGCAGUUUCACGUACCUGCUGGCCAGAUGCCCUCUGUGUCUCUGACCACCAGGUAAGACAGAUGCCAUGCCUAUUGAACAGGUGGGAAAACUGAGGAUCCUUUCUUCUAAUAUUUAUUUUUUUAGUUGUAAUUGGACACAAUACCUUUAUUUUUCUUAUUUAUCUUUAUGUGGUGCUGAGGAUCGAACCCAGGGCCUUGCACGUGCUAGGCGAGCGCUCCACCACUGAGCCCCAGCCCCGGCCUAAGGAUCCCUUACUCAAUAAAGCAUGGUCUCUGGACAGGGAAGAGCAGAUCCCAGGGGCAUCCUGAGCAGCUCAGCAGUUCCGGACUGUCACUGAUCCGUCUUCUGCACCAGGCAUCAUGUCUCCUGAAACCAUGAAAACCCAGAUCAUCUCUGCAGCUUGAUACCUUCUCUCUGCCCAGUUCUGGGUGUGCCCUGCUUCGUGUCAGUACUUGCAGCAACAUGUUGAGGUGCCGUUACUGUCACAGGCCCCACCGACAGGGGAGGACAUUGAGGCUUCAGAGGGGACAAGCAACUUUCCUAGGGUCACCCAGCUUGUCAGGUAGGUACUGGGCUGUCAGGCCUCCCGCCUGAGCCCCUGGCUUGCUUUGCAAAGCUGACUAUUUGCUCUGGCGUGUUCAUAGAAGGAGAUAAAGAUGCCAUUUUUCUGAGGUCUGGACUUUGCCUCUAACACCCCGCUGAGCUGUCCCCCCCCCCAGCCACCCUUAAAGAGGAGAGGAAGGUCACACGUGUUAAUUGAGCAACUAGAGCGAGCGAACACAGGCACACUUGUUUUUCUGCCACCUGGAAAAGGACACCGUGGGUUCAGAGGAAAUGGAAACCCACUGGAUUGACCAGAUGACCAACCCUGGCACAGCUGGUUUGCAGACGGUGAUGCUCUCUGAUUUGCUUUUUCCAAACCUUGAGGGCACAGUUUUCCUUGAGUCUUCGGGUCACAUAACUGCAGCGCGAUUCUCCAGCAGCUUGGUGCAGGAUCUUCAGCACAGACUCUCAGAACCAGAGCCAGAAAUCCACCCUCCCACCCAUGCUGAGACCCAAGAGGUGGGCAGCAGGCCCAGGGUCCCCGGAUCCCAGUUGAGUCCCACUGCCCACAAAGGGCAGUAGGUGGCGCCACGGCCCCGGUUUAACAAGGACGGCAGGAAGGUGGGAAGGAGGGGGAAACCCAGAAAGAAAAACCAGUGGAAAACAAGGAUUUAAAAGCAGAACAAUUUGUUCCAAAACAUUUGCCUUGUGACAGGGUCAUCUAUAAAUUCUGGGAUUUCCUGCUUGCCGUGGGGCAGGCCGAGGGCGGGCGGCCACCUUAACUCCCCGCAGUCUGGGAGAAUCAUUGGAAGCCCAGCUCCCGGGCUCUGGCCUCCCCGGGGUCGAGACUGGCUCUGAAAUUUCCCGGCUUUUGUGCCCUAAGCAGGAUCCUGGGUCGGGCAGCUCUGGAGGAAAGCCAUGCUCCAGUUUCCCUGGGCUGGGAGGAGGGGCGAGCGGAGCUCCUGGUCGUUUUUAAAGGAGAGGCUGCCCUCUCCGUCUCUCUGUCCCUUCUCUGCCGUCUGCCUUGAUCUAAAGCCAGAAAAUAAGUAAAAGCCAUCAAAAGGACAGAGUCGGGGGUGGCCCUGUUCCAGUCCGCACGGGCAUCAACAGGGAGAAAAAUCACCCCUUUGCCAGCCCAGUAGAACCUGGACAAAACCCAGCCUGGCCAUGUGGUGAGAGAGGAGCCCAGCCUUUCCCUGCCCAGUGAUUGCAUCACAGAAUCCCAGCAGCUAGACGUGGUGGACGGGCCCCGGGGGCCGUGGAUUCGCCAGUCAUUGGAAGGAGCAUCUUACACCUUUGGAGGCCAGGGAGCUCCUGAGGCUCAGGGGUCACUGUGCUGGAAGCCCUACACGUGUGGAAGCCCUCGUCCAGUGCAAGCAUGUUUACUUUCUCUUGCCACUCAUGUCCUCUUGGGAUCCAGGUGACCCUCCUGCUGGGAAAACACAAACACAGGACGCGGAGCAUCAAGACUCUGAAGGAAAGAUCUUAUGAACUCACAAGGAUAGUUUUGUACGUCGAAUACAGUCACGGGGUGUUUACAUCAACAGCAAGCUGCGAAUGUGACACGGAGCUGAAACAUUCCUAUUGCCAAGGGACAUUGUAGCCGUCAUGAUGCCAUAGCAAAAUGUGGUUCUUAGCCUGUGCGGUGACGCUGGUGUGAACGAACCUGCUGCACGGCCUGUCCUAUGAAAGCAUAGCCCAUAUAAUUAUGUACAGAAGCUAACACUCGAUCAUGGUGAUGAAUGUCUGUUACUGGCUUAUGUAUUCACCCUACUGAAUACUGCCUAUCGUUGGCUUAGAGUGUGCCCCUUCUGCUCUCAUAAACCAAAAGUUCACUGUAAAAUAUUCUGCUGUGUUACACCAGCAACAGCCUCGUCCCUCUGAGUUUCCUGCGUCUCUUGAUGGUGUCCAGAGGACAAGUCGAGUGAUUGACUGGUGUCAUCUAGGCUUGUGAAAACGCACCGUGAUCUUCAGGCAACUUUGAAACCACCGAAGGAUGCAUUUCCUGGCAUGCGUCCUGGCCCGCGAGGUGUCCAGAGCAGGCUCAGAGUUACAUUUUCUUCUCACCCAAGGAACCAGGUUCAGAAGCUGAGCUGGGACCCCGUAAGGGAAAAAGCAACUGUGAAUCAGGCUCCUGGUCAGAGUGAGGAGCCUGGGUCCGGGCUGGGUCACUACUCAGCUGAGCGACAUUGAUGAGCCAUAGAUCUUCCUGGGUCUCAGUUUCCUCAUCUGUCUAGGGGGUGGUGGGUUGGGCAGAUGAGGAAUUGCCAUCUCAAAUGCCUACCGAGGUGCCAGGUGCCAGGCAAGGGAGUGACCAAGAGAGACUGGCCAAGGGGGCAGCUGCUUCUUAGCCCCAGCUGCCCGUGGCCUAGAAGGUACUGGGGACUAGAUUUUUAAGAAGCCAGGAGUCUGGAGUUUUGUGGAAAUGGUUCCGAGUUGUAAGUCAAUGGAGGUCAAACCAAUCAGGUCUGGGGGGUCCACCUGGUUCUCAGGCCUCAGGGAUUCCAAGGUCCACAGGACUCUUCCAAGUUCAGGAAACCCUGGGGACCGUGUCCACUGUUCACAUCCUCACUGUUCUAUGUUGACACCCAAGGCCUUGCCUUAUUCUGUCUCCCUUCAGAGUUGUCUCCACUGCUACUAACUCGGGGACCCAUUCCUGUCCCCUUCCCCCCAGAAGCCCAGGCAAAAGCUCCUCCCUGUGCACUGGUCUUAAAGGGCAGCACAUCUCAGCUACCAGGGAGCCCGAGUCUGGAGAUUAGAGUCUGCGUUCUCUGAGGUUCUUAGUAAAUGUUUGUCAAAUAAAAGAAUGAAUGAACAACCCCAA